rfam:Nematostella vectensis strain CH2 x CH6 NEMVEscaffold_3515_Cont45478, whole genome shotgun sequence.
CUGCUGAAACCAUAUCACUUAUCACUUAAUGGAUUAUCCUAAAAGUGAUCAGUGGUAAGGUUUCAGUA